AAAAGCUCAGCCAAAUAGGCCCUUACGGCAUGUUUAUUUCAUCGAAGGUGAAGUUUAUUAGGUUAAAGUAGACUUUCAGGUGAACUAGAGUUUAAAAAAGUAUACUUCCCUUCCGCUGUUUAUUUGUCUAGCUUUGGAACUAAAGUUUUUCAGUUCUUCUGUUCGGCUGGCAGGAAGCGAAUGACGUAAAAGACGAAGGUCUGAAAGGUGGGUUAAUAUUUUAUAAUUUUUUCUUACCUUUUUUUUUCAGUAAUUGACUUCGGACUGAAAUGAUCCGAAGGCAAUUACGCUAUUUUGGGGAGUUUAAGUUUCGACC
rnacentral:lncRNA from 1 species